CCUACGGGAGGCAGCAGUAGGGAAUCUUCCACAAUGGGCGAAAGCCUGAUGGAGCAACGCCGCGUGGGUGAAGAAGGUCUUAGGAUCGUAAAACCCUGUUGUUAGAGAAGAAAGUGCGUGAGAGUGACUUUUCACGUUUCGACGGUAUCUAACCAGAAAGCCACGGCUCACUACGUGCCAGCCGCCGCGGUAAUACGUAGGUGGCAAGCGUUAUCCGGAUUUAUUUGGAGUAAAGGGAACGCAGGCGGUCUUUUAAGUGUGAUGUGAAAGCCUUCGGCUUAACCGGAGUAGUGCAUUGGAAACUGGGAGACUGGAGUGCAGAAGAGGAGAGUGGAAUUCCAGGUGUAGCGGUGAAAUGCGUAGAGAUAUGGAAGAACACCAGUGGCGAAAGCGGCUUUCUGGUCUGUAACUGACGCUGAGGUACGAAAGCGUGGGUAGCAAACAGGAUUAGAUACCCGAGUAGUC
rnacentral:rRNA from 1 species